rnacentral:lncRNA from 1 species
AAAGUCCAUUAUUUACCACGGUGGGGCAAGGACAGUUUGCAGUAGCUCUAGCCCUAAGACAGACACAUGUGCAGGACACAGCCACGGUAAAGGCUGCAGAGCACAUGGAAAUUGAAGCCAUGUGGGACUUAACAAGAGAUCAAAUGGUAUCUUAAACAUCCCAGGGCAGCUGCCCUGUCCCCAGAGCCUGGGGCGGCCUCUGUGAAGGGGCCCCUCUUUCCUGGUGUUCUGGGUCCCUCUCCUCCCAGCUCCACUGCAGCAUCCAGAUUUCUCGAAGUGGCUGAUGUGUGUCUCAUGAUGAGUACUGAACAUCAUAAAAGGAGAAGUGACAAGCAAGCCCGAGUCUAGAGAGUAAGAGAAGCCACAGGCUAAGAAGUGGGACCAUGGCUUAGAAGACCAGAACAGAAGAAAAAGCAAGAGAUGAACAUUCUGGCAAAAACCAGACUACAGAUUUACAUUUUUUCUUUAUUAUUUUAUUAGAUAUUACCUUUAUUUUUAUUAUCUUUUUAAAUUAUUUUUAUUAUUUUAUUAUCUUUCAUUAUUUUUAUUAAAAUUCUUAUCACUUUAUUUUCUUUAUUCUUUUUUCUUUACUCUCAGUACUUCAUUCAGCAUCACCAUAUUUAAUGUUUCCUUACAACUGGGUCUUUUCUAUGGUUGUCCUUGGAUACACCCUUGUUGGUGGCAGAACCCUGUGGUUAGUUCUGGCCAAUGACUGAUGUGUGGAAGUGAUGUGUCUGGGCUGAUGUAUUGAAUGGCCUCUGGGAAGCAAGCAGUUGACAGGGUGACAGACAAAUGCUUGAAACAGCUUAUGCAGUGGAGGUUUCCUUCAGAGGACAAUUGCCCUGGGGACAUCUCUUGAUCAGGAUCUGACUUUGCCUGGAUAAAUACAAUAAAGCUUUGUUUUAAUCUUCUGA